UACGGAGGGGGCUAGCGUUGUUCGGAAUUACUGGGGGUAAAGCGCACGUAGGCGGGUCUUUAAGUCAGGGGUGAAAUCCUGGAGCUCAACUCCAGAACUGCCUUUGAUACUGAGGAUCUUGAGUUCGGGAGAGGUGAGUGGAACUGCGAGUGUAGAGGUGAAAUUCGUAGAUAUUCGCAAGAACACCAGUGGCGAAGGCGGCUCACUGGCCCGAUACUGACGCUGAGGCACGAAAGCGUGGGGAGCAAACAGG
rnacentral:rRNA from 1 species